rnacentral:rRNA from 1 species
GCUUGUCUCAAAGAUUAAGCCAUGCAUGUCUAAGUAUAAACUAAUUUAUACGGUGAAACUGCGAAUGGCUCAUUAAAUCAGUUAUAGUUUAUUUGAUGGUUGAUUACUACGUGGAUAACCGUGGUAAUUCUAGAGCUAAUACAUGCCUACAAGCCCGACUUCUGGAAGGGUGGUAUUUAUUAGAUAAGAAACCUUCCCCUUUGGGUUGCGUGCCGAGUCACAAUAACUGCUCGAAUCGCAUGGCUUCACGCCGGCGAUGGUUCAUUCAAAUUUCUGCCCUAUCAGCUUUCGAUGGUAGGAUCGAGGCCUACCAUGGCGUUUACGGGUAACGGAGAAUUAGGGUUCGAUUCCGGAGAGGGAGCCUGAGAGAUGGCUACCACAUCCAAGGAAGGCAGCAGG